CUGUCCAUAAGGAGGGGAGUACUGUUACGGCACAAGCGCGUGCCGCUGCACACUCAUCAAUGAGCCCCGCGGAGCGCACCCUGGGGACACGAUCAUUGGUUGUCCGACUCGGUGGCUGUAGCGGCGUACUACUCGCCGCCACCAGGCUCGUCCCCAAUGGAUUCGGGGACACUUUGUUCUGGCAACUCACCACCACUUCUCCCCUCUACCUUCCCUUGACUUUUGAUAUUUUUGUUUUACUGGUUCGACUCUUAGGACAUCUGGAAGCUGUCCAUAAGGAGGGGGGUACUGUUACGGCACAAGCGCAUGCCGCUGUGCUUUCUUCAAUGAGCCCCGCGGAGCGCGCUUAGGGACACGCCCACGCCUGCUGAUCUCCUGCGGGAGCCGGCGGCUCAAAUCUAUCAGCAAUCUACACACCUGUCGUUGAUGAGCUCUCCUGCCUUCAUAAGGCUGCGCAACCUGCUAUCCGGCGCAAGAACGCAACCUUCUGUUCGUGUACAUAUCCUCCGUCGCUUUGGGAGUGAGGUGUGCAUCUCACUUUUCCCUGGAUCUCCCUCUGGACUCUGACUGCCACCCUCGAUCCUCGACUUCCUGCCGGCUCACGGACCUCUGAGCUCUGCUUUUCUCCUCCCUGACCUUCCGCCUCUUGUCCAACAAUACGCUGUGUGCCUCGACUUCCCACUGGAUACAGGACUGCCACCCUUGAUCCUCGACCCCUGCUUGAACACGGACAUUGUUGCUUCUCUUCAGCCUCCGACCACUUGCCUGUCUACGGACUGCCUUUCCCUUUGGUCUGACAAAGGAUUCAUCCAAAACACACAUACAACAAACCCUGGUAACAUUUACAUGGUUAAUUCUACACAUCGUUUUGCAUUUAUUACUUGG